GACCUGAGUUCAGGUGAAGGCUACCCAAUUU
rnacentral:rRNA from 1 species